rnacentral:rRNA from 1 species
CCCCGCUUGCGGGGGGAUUAGUGGCGAACGGGUGAGUAACACGUGAGUAACCUGCCCUUAACUCUGGGAUAAGCCUGGGAAACUGGGUCUAAUACUGGAUAUUGACUUUUCACCGCAUGGUGUUUGGUUGAAAGAUUUAUUGGUUUUGGAUGGACUCGCGGCCUAUCAGCUUGUUGGUGGGGUAAUGGCCUACCAAGGCGACGACGGGUAGCCGGCCUGAGAGGGUGACCGGCCACACUGGGACUGAGACACGGCCCAGACUCCUACGGGAGGCAGCAGUGGGGAAUAUUGCACAAUGGGCGCAAGCCUGAUGCAGCGACGCCGCGUGAGGGAUGACGGCCUUCGGGUUGUAAACCUCUUUCAGUAGGGAACAAGGCCAUCUUUUGGGUGGUUGAGGGUACUUGCAGAAGAAGCGCCGGCUAACUACGUGCCAGCAGCCGCGGUAAUACGUAGGGCGCAAGCGUUAUCCGGAAUUAUUGGGCGUAAAGAGCUCGUAGGCGGUUUGUCGCGUCUGCCGUGAAAGUCCGGGGCUCAACUCCGGAUCUGCGGUGGGUACGGGCAGACUAGAGUGAUGUAGGGGAGACUGGAAUUCCUGGUGUAGCGGUGA